rnacentral:tRNA from 1 species
AAAUAUGAAGUGAUAUAUUACACUCAGUUUCGACCUGAUUUUAGAUGAAUUUCAUCCUUAUUUU